rnacentral:tRNA from 1 species
GGCGACGUAGCUCAGCUGGUUAGAGCGGCAGAAUCAUAAUCUGUAGGUCCGGGGUUCGAGUCCCUGCGUCGCCACCA